rnacentral:rRNA from 1 species
GCAUAACGCGAAGAACCUUACCCACCUUUGACAUGUACGGAAUCCUUUAGAGAUAGAGGAGUGCUCGAAAGAGAGCCGUAACACAGGUGCUGCAUGGCUGUCGUCAGCUCGUGUCGUGAGAUGUUGGGUUAAGUCCCGCAACGAGCGCAACCCUUGCCAUUAGUUGCUACGUUUAGUUGAGCACUCUAAUGGGACUGCCGGUGACAAACCGGAGGAAGGUGGGGAUGACGUCAAGUCCUCAUGGCCCUUAUAGGUGGGGCUACACACGUCAUACAAUGGCUGGUACAAAGGGUUGCCAACCCGCGAGGGGGAGCUAAUCCCAUAAAGCCAGUCGUAGUCCGGAUCGCAGUCUGCAACUCGACUGCGUGAAGUCGGAAUCGCUAGUAAUCGUGGAUCAGAAUGUCACGGUGAAUACGUUCCCGGGUCUUGUACACACCG